CGGAAGUCGAGGUGCUGCAUGGCUGUCGUCAGCUCGUGCCGUGACGGUUGUUCGGUUAAGUCCGGUUAACGAGCGCAACCCUGCCCUUAGUUACCAGCGGGUAAUGCCGGGAACUCUAAGGGGACUGCCUUGGUUAACGAGGAGGAAGGUGGGGACGACGUCAAGUCAUCACGGCCUUUAUGUCCAGGGCCACACACGUGCUACAAUGGCCGGCACAAAGGGUUGCCAACCCGCGAGGGGGAGCCAAUCCCAAAAUCCGGCCUCAGUUCGGAUUGCAGUCUGCAACUCGACUGCAUGAAGUCGGAAUCGCUAGUAAUCGCGAAUCAGCAGGUCGCGGUGAAUACGUUCCCGGGCCUU
rnacentral:rRNA from 1 species